AUUGAACGCUGGCGGCAGGCCUAACACAUGCAAGUCGAGCGGAUGAAGGGAGCUUGCUCCUGGAUUCAGCGGCGGACGGGUGAGUAAUGCCUAGGAAUCUGCCUGGUAGUGGGGGAUAACGUCCGGAAACGGGCGCUAAUACCGCAUACGUCCUGAGGGAGAAAGUGGGGGAUCUUCGGCCCUCACGCUAUCAGAUGAGCCUAGGUCGGAUUAGCUAGUUGGUGGGGUAAAGGCCUACCAAGGCGACGAUCCGUAACUGGUCUGAGAGGAUGAUCAGUCACACUGGAACUGAGACACGGUCCAGACUCCUACGGGAGGCAGCAGUGGGGAAUAUUGGACAAUGGGCGAAAGCCUGAUCCAGCCAUGCCGCGUGUGUGAAGAAGGUCUUCGGAUUGUAAAGCACUUUAAGUUGGGAGGAAAGGCAGUAAGUUAAUACCUUGCUGUAUUGACGUUACCAUCAGAAUAAGCACCGGCUAACUUCGUG
rnacentral:rRNA from 1 species